UGGGGAAUAUUGCGCAAUGGGCGAAAGCCUGACGCAGCGACGCCGCGUGAGGGAUGAAGGUUUUCGGAUCGUAAACCUCUGUCAGAAGGGAAGAAACCGCACUGUGCUAAUCAGCAGUGCCUUGACGGUACCUUCAAAGGAAGCACCGGCUAACUCCGUGCCAGCAGCCGCGGUAAUACGGAGGGUGCAAGCGUUAAUCGGAAUUACUGGGCGUAAAGCGCACGUAGGCUGCUUUGUAAGUCAGGGGUGAAAUCCCACGGCUCAACCGUGGAACUGCCUUUGAUACUGCUUAGCUUGAAUCCGGGAGAGGGUGGCGGAAUUCCAGGUGUAGGAGUGAGAUCCGUAGAUAUAUGGAGGAACAUCAGUGGCGAGGGCGGCCACCUGGACCGGUAUUGACGCUGAGGUGCGAAAGCGUGGGGAGCAAACAGG
rnacentral:rRNA from 1 species